rnacentral:rRNA from 1 species
UAAUACUGGAUAGGCAAUUAUUCCUGUAAUGGUUUUUUGUUUAAAUGUUUUUUCGCCUAAGGAUGGGUCUGCGGCCGAUUAGGUAGUUGGUUAGGUAAUGGCUUACCAAGCCUUUGAUCGGUACGGGUUGUGAGAGCAAGAGCCCGGAGAUGGAACCUGAGACAAGGUUCCAGGCCCUACGGGGUGCAGCAGGCGCGAAACCUCCGCAAUGUGAGAAAUCGCGACGGGGGGAUCCCAAGUGCCAUUCUUAACGGGAUGGCUUUUCAUUAGUGUAAAGAGCUUUUGGAAUAAGAGCUGGGCAAGACCGGUGCCAGCCGCCGCGGUAACACCGGCAGCUCUAGUGGUAGCAGUUUUUAUUGGGCCUAAAGCGUCCGUAGCCGGUUUAAUAAGUCUCUGGUGAAAUCCUGCAGCUUAACUGUGGGAAUUGCUGGAGAUACUAUUAGACUUGAGAUCGGGAGAGGUUAGAGGUACUCCCAGGGUAGAGGUGAAAUUCUGUAAUCCUGGGAGGACCGCCUGUUGCGAGGGCGUCUGACUGGAACGAUUCUGACGGUGAGGGACGAAAGCUAGGGGCGCGAACCGGAUUAGAUACCCGGGUAGUCCUAGCUGUAAACGAUGCGGACUUGGUGU